GACGAACGCUGGCGGCGUGCUUAACACAUGCAAGUCGAACGAACAGACGCGGCGCUUGCUUCUCUGAUGAUAGGCGCGGGCGGGAGAGACACGCGUGGAACCCCCCCCUAUCAGACUGGUAACAUCACGGAACUCCGGCUAUAACAGCGUAUAAUCUCUUGCAGCGCAUGGUGCAUAGGAGAGUUUCGGUCGUGCUGUCUGUUCUCGCUGGAUCUGAGCUGCAUUGGCUAGUUGGUAAGGUAAUGGCUUACCAAGGCAACGAUGCAUAGCCGACCUGAGAGGGUGAUCGGCCACACUGGAACUGAGACACGGUCCAGACUCCUACGGGAGGCAGCAGUAGGGAAUCGUCCGCAAUGGGCGAAAGCCUGACGGAGCAACGCCGCGUGAGUGAUGAAGGUCUUCGGAUCGUAAAACUCUGUUAUUAGGGAAGAACAUAUGUGUAAGUAACUGUGCACAUCUUGACGGUACCUAAUCAGAAAGCCACGGCUAACUACGUG
rnacentral:rRNA from 1 species